GAUGAACGCUGGCGGCGUGCCUAACACAUGCAAGUCGAGCGGACAGACGGUGAGCUUUCGCCUUUGCGGGUAGCGGCGGACGGGUGGGUAACACGUGGAUAACCUUCCUCUAAUUCUUGGGUAACUUCGGGGAACCGGUUCUGAUACCGGAGAAUAUGUUGUACGGCUUGGUUCAAGGGUUCUACACGCUUUUCCCGUUACUUUUAGAUGGUGUCGGGUCGGAUUAGCUAGUUGGUAAGGUAACGGCUUACCAAGGCUACGAUGCGUAGCCGAGCUGAGAGGGUGAUCGGCCACACUGGAACUGAGACACGGUCCAGACUCCUACGGGAGGCAGCAGUGGGGAAUAUUGGACAAUGGGCGAAAGCCUGACCGAGCCACGCCGCGUGAGUGAAGAAGGUCUUCGGAUCGUAAAGCUCUGUUAUUAGGAAAGAAAAGAAGUGUAAGUAAACCUGGAUGUCUUGACGGUACCUAAUGAAAAAGCCCCGGCUAACUACGUG
rnacentral:rRNA from 1 species